rnacentral:lncRNA from 1 species
UAAUAUUUAAAUAUCUUAAUAUUCUUUAGCAAGUUAAAUACUAGUAUGCAGUGGCUCUCAAAUUGAGGAUAUUAUAUUAACCUAGUGAUACAAAUAGCAAAGUAAAAUUAAGUUUUGAAUACACAUAGCAUUUUGAAUACAAAUAGUACGUAAAAUUAAGUUUUAGAAAAGAGCAACACCAUGAUUAACUAUAUUAUUCAAUAUGGCACUAAGAUCCAACAAACCCCACCAUAUCAUAUUAUAAUUGGCACUUAACUUUAAUUUGAGCACCAUGGAUUUGCCCCCAUUAUGCUUGUCAUCAAGAUCAUCGCAUCACAUGUCUUCCAAUGUUUGGUUUCCUUCAUGUUUUGCUGCCACAGGACAUAUAUCAACAAUGAUAUACAUGCAUGACCCACUCUUAAUUGGAGAUGGAGAACAAGAACAAAAUUUGGUUGACGUACAAAGGUCUUUAAUUUUGGUCUCUGAAUUUGCCUUGAGCAAUUUGAAUGAGGGUGGUGUUUGUAUUAUUAUAUU